GACGAACGCUGGCGGCGUGCUUAACACACGCAAGUCGAGCGGAAAGGCCCUUCGGGGUACUCGAGCGGCGAACGGGUGAGUAACACGUGAGUAAUCUGCCCUUCACUCUGGGAUAGCCACCGGAAACGGUGAUUAAUACCGGAUACGGCCGCCGUGGGCAUCCGCUGGGGGUGGAAACUUUUUUGGGUGGGGGAUGUGCCCGCGGCCUAUCAGCUUGUUGGUGGGGUAAUGGACUACCAAGGCUUCGACGGGUAGCCGGCCUGAGAGGGUGACCGGCCACACUGGGACUGAGACACGGCCCAGACUCCUACGGGAGGCAGCAGUGGGGAAUAUUGGACAAUGGGCGGAAGCCUGAUCCAGCAACGCCGCGUGAGGGAUGACGGCCUUCGGGUUGUAAACCUCUUUCAGCACCGACGAAGCGCAAGUGACGGUAGGUGCAGAAGAAGGACCGGCCAACUACGUGCCAGCCGCCGCCGUAAUAC
rnacentral:rRNA from 1 species